GACCUAUACCCGGCCGUCGGGGC
rnacentral:sRNA from 1 species